AUUCAUUCAAAAGUAGUAUACACUCCAUAACGCCUGCUCACGCUUCAGUCGCCUGCAAUCUGGCUUCCAUCUCUCCCACUCCACUGAAAUGGCAUCGUCCAAGAUCAAAUCUCAUUCAACUCUAUGGCUUUACUUUCUACCUUCAUGUAUACAAGCUGAGACCAAGUUACUUUAAAGGUAGCUGGAUGGUGCCAUGGACAGAGGGAAUACAAGAUCUUAGCCUCUGACAUCCUGUUCAAACCCCUGCCUCUUCCUUCUUUGACCACAUACUGAUCUCCAAACUCCUGUAGUGCUUACAAUCAUUGAAUCUCAGAGAUGGAAGGAAGAUUCAGCCCAAUUUGUACUUGAUAAUGAAUCCC